ACAAAAAGAAGUCAAUAUGCGUGUGCAGGCUUCCCUGCUGGCGUCCGCCGCACUGACUACGGAAGUGGACGUGCUAAAGCAGGACCUCGAGCGGUCCGAGCAAGAGCUCGGACGUUCCAAGAAGCAGCUCGAGGACAGUGAAGGUAAGAAAAUACCUUGUAUAAAUGUGUAUAAAAAGGUGCAAUUGCGAAAAAUGACAGGAGUAUCGUGGCUAUUGUAGGGGCCACGUCUGAGGUGGCGACCCUGAAGUAAGCGCUGCUCGAGGCCGAGAAGAGGUCGGCCAUGGAGCGCACUGAGCAAGAAAAGUAUGAAGCCGAGGUUGGCAAGGUGUGGCGAGAGCUCCAGGCUCUCAUGGAAAAACAUGAGAGUUUGGAGCGUGACUCAAGGACGCGAGCGUCCGAGCUCGCGGCGGCUACUAAAAGUGCCAAGUCUGCCAAGGCCGAAUCCCAGAAGACCCUCCAGGAGUUGGAUGAGGUGAAGAAGAUAGCGGCGGGUAAGGCAUUCUUUAUGCAAAGUAAACACAUAAGCGUGAGUUACUUGUCACUCACCCGAAUCCAGAGUUCUCCAGGCGCGUUCGCAGAUCUUCCCCGGAAUAUAUCUGAUGCCGCCGCAUUCUAUCGAGCCGAGGAGGGCAUCUCGACGAAGAAGGUGUUCUGGUCUCAGUACGUUGAGGCCGGACACCCCGUGCCCCUGAGCGACCAGUUGAAGCAACUGGUCAAGCUCCACAAGGCGGCCGAACAGGCCAUGAAGGGCCUCAUAGUUCGGCUGUGGCCUGGAGAGGCUCAGCCUGGGAGCUAUUUCGGGCUGGUGUGGCGGCUGGUGGAGGCCUGUCCAUGGCUCGAAGUUAUCAAGCGCUCUGUGUGCAUUGAAGGUGCCCGUAAGGCCCUUGCCCGUGCGAAGGUGCACUGGGGCAAGCUGGAUGCUGAGAAGCUUGUGAAGGACGCGCCACCACCGGGGAAAGAGCAUCGCAAGCCCGAAAAUUAUUAUAAGGAUGUUCUGAAGGGUGCCCGCCUUGUGGCGGAUGAAUGUUCUAUGGAUGUAAUUUUUGAAUAAAACUCGCUCGUUUUGUCCUGUGCGCUGAAAACUUGUUCAUAUACGCUUUAAGCAAUGCUAUUUGAAUUUAAAAUAUUACCUUCUGUGCGGCUGUUUAUCAAUUCUGAGAGAUGGCAAGUCGUCGGCUUCUGCCCCCGGGCCGCUAGUGCUGGGGUGUUCGGGGAUAAACCUGAGGGCUCUUUUUCCCAUGUUUGGGUCCUUCGAGGGAGGCGCUCAGCCCAACGAACAAGGCAAUCGGACUAUAAUGCGUGAACACUCUCACUUAGCCAUAGAAUUCUAUAAUUUUAAAUUUCGGCGAAGCCCCUGGUAUUCGGAAGACCGAGUUCGGGGCGCUAUCCACGCCUUGGCCGGACAGAACCGGCUCCUCGCCCUAAGCGGCAUAAGUCUUUAAGGACUCGAAAAGACCUCUCGAACAGCGACCAGCUCUCGCCUCAUCAUGACGGUCAGUUUUAGCUUUCUCCACUGAGGUGCUCAACCCAGCUCAACCGGGGCACAAUCGCAGUGGUUCUCCUAGUGCUACCUUAGCCGAUAUAGCGGAACGUAAGGCACCAAAACAUAGGAGUCGGGCAAACCCAACUAUUGACCCAAGACAUGAUUCGGAGCCGAUGCAUAUAAUGCUAUAAGUUUGGGGUGCGGUACUUGUUAAAGUGUUCGGACUUCUCACACCAUGUUGAGGGGUACUGAAGCCCCUGGCGUAUUUUGGCCGUACCAAAGUGUACGGGUGCAACAUGUCAUUAAGGAACAUAUAUAAAUAUAAAGAAAAAGAGUAAUGCAAAAAUAGACAAAAGCUAUGCAUUGUUUAUUAAAAAGAGCUGCGAUCAAAGCAGAACGAUACAAAUAAUGCGAUAAGCAAAAGGUUGGAUUAUGUAACAUGUCCGCUCCAGGGGCAAGCUGCGGAAUAAUAUGCGAAACAGGUAUAUUGCUCGUGAUAGAGGCCACCUGGGAGUUCCAUAAUGCGGCGCGGCUCAUCUGCUUCCCUGGUUCUUGCAUCGUUUGUGCGGCAAUUGAACUGCCGAACAGGCCUUCCGAAGAGUGGAGUCCUGAAAGUAAGAGAAAAUUAAAAAAUCGGCAGCCCCUGGUACGGUUGGAGCCGUGUUUUGGGCGUGCCGUGAUGGUGCCCCUCCCCCUGUGCCCAUGGUAUCUCUAGGGCGUAGUUAUGUACGCGAAGUACUGACGUCGCCUUUUGGCGAGGGUUGGGGUUGGGGACGCAUUGCUACGCCUGCUCGAAUCGUGCCAAGCGGUCUUGUUGUAGGUUACUCUGGGCGCGCUUGACGGUGUCCGGUCGUUUAGUGGCCGGACUGGAGAAAUGUCUGGAGAGGCUGCUUUGUACUUCCGCUGCAAGAGCCGCCGUGUGCUCCUCCAUUCGGAGGGAGCGUUCGGUGUUUCCAUUGACCGUAAUUACUCCUCGAGGGCCUGGCAUCUUGAGCUUAAGGUAUGCGUAAUGCGGUACCGCAUUGAACUUAGCGAAUGCGGUUCGCUCGAGCAGUGCGUGAUAACCACUGCGAAACGGGACUAUGUCGAAGAUUAACUCCUCGCUUCGGAAAUUAUCCGGAGAUCCGAAGACCACUUCAAGUGCGACUGAGCCUAUACAGUUAGCCUCUACACCUGGUAUUACGCCUUUAAAGGUCGUUUUGGUGGGCUUAGUCCUCGAGGGAUCUAUGCCCAUUUUCCGCACUGUAUCCUGGUAAAGCAGGUUCAGGCUGCUGCCGCCGUCCAUAAGGACUCUAGUGAGAUGAAAUCCGUCAAUAAUUGGGUCUAGAACCAAUGCAGCGAAGCCGCCGUGACGGGUGCUAGUGGGGUGGUCCCUUCGAUCAAAGGUGAUCGGGCAGGAGGACCAUGGGUUGAACUUUGGGGCGACUGGCUCUAUCGCGUAUACGUCCCUUAACGCGCGUUUCCGCUCCCUCUUGGGGAUGUGGGUUGCGUAUAUCAUGUUCACCGUCCGCACUUGUGGGGGAAAACCCUUCUGUCCCUUGUUGUUCGGCGGCCGGGGCUCCUCGUCGUCAUCGCUAUGCAGCCCCUUGUCUUUGUUUUCGGUGUUUAGCUUGCCUGCCUCCUUGAACACCCAACAAUCCUUGUUGGUGUGAUUGGCCGGCUUUUCAGGGGUGCCAUGUAUCUGGCAUAAGCGGUCGAGUAUUCGGUCCAAACUAGACGGGUCCCUAGGAUUCCUUUUGAAUGGCUUUUUCCGCUAACCGGAUUUAGAGCCUCUGAAUCCGGCAUUAACUGCUGUAUCAUCUGCAUUGUCGCCGUUAAUGCGGCGCUUCUGUUUGUUGCGACGCGACCUGCCACUACUGUCCCUGGUGUCCGAAUUACCAGGGUUCUUGGUGAUAUUGUUUCUACGAGCAAGCCAGCUAUCUUCUCCCAUGCAAAAGCGGGUCAUGAGUGUCGUGAGUGCUGCCAUAGAUUUCGGCUUUUCCUGUCCAAGGUGCCGGGCCAGCCACUCGUCACGGAUAUUGUGUUUGAAGGCUGCUAGGGCCUCGAUGUCCGGACAGUCGACUAUUUGAUUUUUCUUUGUUAGGAACCGUGUCCAGAAUUUCCUGGCCGAUUCAUCUGGCUGCUGAAUUACGUGACUUAGGUCAUCGGCGUCUGGGGGUCACACAUAAGUGUCCUGGAAAUUGUCGAGGAAUGCGGCUUCCAGGUCCUCCCAACAACUGAUUGAUCCUGUUGGCAAGCUGUUAAGCCAAUGCCAAGCUAGUCCUUUAAGCUUGAGUGGGAGGUAUUUGAUGGCGUGGAAAUCAUCACCGUGGGCCAUGUGGAUAUGAAGGAGAUAAUCCUCAAUCCAUACCGCAGGAUCUGUUGUGCCAUCAUAUGAUUCAAUGUUUAUGGGUUUGAAACCCUCGGUGAUUUGAUGAUCCAUUAUUUCGUCUGUGAAGCAGGGUGGGUGUGCGGCGCCUCUGUACUGGGCUAUAUCAUGACGUAGCUCCAAUGAGCUUUGUCUACUGUGUUCGGCCCUGCCGAAUUUGUGGCCGGCGUGACGAAUGUUUUCUCGAGCCGUGGGGCGCCCACGCAAUCCGUAGAUCGAUCUUGUUUGUCUAGCCUUGUCCUCCAACAUGUCUCGUAGGUCCGGUGCAUAGUCCCGUGCCUUGGUACGGGGUGCGGCUUGAGUGGAGGGCCGAGAGGCCUCUCUGUCGCGGCCACGAGGUGGCCGGUCGGCCGCAUCAAGUGCUUCCUCCUCUAAUUGGGGUGGGAACCAGCGCUUUGGGUAGCUCUUGGAGGGGCGUUCGAGUUUAUGCUCUUCAGCCGCAAGGACUUCACUCCAUCUGUCGACUAGCAAAUCUUGAUCAGCUCUAAGUUGUUGCUGUUUUUUCUUGAGGCUUCUUGCCGUGGCCAUAAGCCUGCGUUGAAAACGCUCUUUCUCGACGGGAUCCUCUGGCACGACGAAUUCGUCGUCGUCGAGGCUUGCCUCGUCUUCGGAGGGAGGCAUAUAAUUAUCGUCCUCGACCUCUCUGUCUGCCGCUCUCUCAUGAGGGCUGGUUUCUCCAUCCUCCUGUGCUAAAUCUUGCUGGAGGGGGUUUUCUUCGGCGCUUUCCGGAGUAUUAUUAUCUCCCGUGCUGGAAUCACCGUGUUUGUUUAGGCGGGAUUUUGAGCAGCGUCGCUGACGUCGGCGCUUAGGCUGUUUUUUGGAGGGGUCAUCCUCCGCUGUUCCAUCGCCGUCUCCCUCCUUUGGGGUAUCCACCAUGUAUAUGUCAUACGACGAGGUGGCUUUCCAGGGCCUAGUAGGCACUGGUUCUUCAUCAUCUCCUUCAUCGGCGUCCAUACCCUUGAUGUCUUCGGAGUCGAAGUCGAGCAUGUCGGUUAAGUCGUCGACAGUGGCUACAAAGUGGGUGGUGGGUGGGCUUUGAAUUUCUUCAUCGUCCGAAUCCCAACCUUGCUAGCCGUAGUCCGGCCAGGGCUCUCCUGAUAAAGAAAGAGACUUCAAUGACUUCAGAAUAUCGCCAAAAGGCGAGUGCUGAAAGAUGUCCGCGGCAGUAAACUCCAUGAUCGGCGCCCAACCGGAUUUGAUUGGCCGGGGCGCAGAGGGUUCGGAGUCCGGAAAGGAGUCCGACUCCUUGGAGUCACGAGUCUCGCGGAGUGCGGGGCUGGUGUUCGGCUCAAUCGUUGUUGGGAUCGCAGCCCCCGAGGUGGCGUCCAACCGCCCAUCCUCGGUCAGCGCAGUUGGCUCCGAAUUAAGGAUCGGAGCCGAUGCGGGUGCGGCCUCCAGGGCACUGUUUGGCGGCAGAGCUAGAUCAUGCUCGUCGGGACAGUGUGGCGCGCUCGGUAGUGGCUGGAAUCCGUCGAGGAUCAAGUCCCCGCGGAUGUCAGCCGUGUAGUUUAAACUUCCGAAUCUGAGCUGACGGACAGGGACGUAGCUUCCGAUCUGCUCCAAGUGGCCAAGUGAAUUGGCCCGCAGUGCGAAACCGCCAAAGACGAAGAUCUGUCCGGGGAGGAAGGUCUUACCCUGGACUGCAUCGCUAUGAUGAUCGUAGGAACCAUCGAGCCUGACGGCGACGACACAGAGGAACUCUCAAUGAAAGCACCAAUGUCGGUGUCAAAUCGGCGGAUCUCGGGUAGGGGGGUCCCGAACUGUGCGUCUAGGCUGGAUGGUAACAGGAGGCAAGGGACACGAAGUUUUACCCAAGUUCGGGCCCUCUCGAUGGAGGUAAACCCUACGUCCUGCUUGAUUAAUAUUGAUGAUAUGGGUAGUACAAGAGUAGAUCUACCACGAGAUCGAGGAGGCUAAACCCUAGAAGCUAGCCUACGGUAUGAUUGUUGAUGUGUAUGUUGUCCUACGGACUAAAACCCUCCGGUUUAUAUAGACACCGGAUAGGGUUAGGGUUACAUAGAGUCGGUUACAAUGGUAGGAGAUCUAAAUAUCCGCAUCGCCAAGCUUGCCUUCCAGGCCAAGGAAAGUCCCUUCCGGACACGGGACGGAGUCUUCAAUCUUGUAUCUUCAUAGUCCAGGAGUCCGGCUGAAGGUAUAGUUCGGCCAUCUGGACACCCCCUAAUCCAGGACUCCCUCAGUCGGUACUGAGUUAUUUUCUGGGGUCCCGUACCUUGGGAAUAAGAGUGAUGGCCAUAUCAUUGAGUCCCAACGGCAGCUCCCCCCCCCCGUUCAGAAAAUCGAGCACGGCUGUCGUUACAUCACUACCUAGAACCUCCCAAUGUCGUUGGAAGAAACCAGCGGUAAAACCAUCCACUCCUGGUGCUUUUGACGGCGCCAUCUGGAAAAGAGCUUUGUGUACCUCCUCCGCCGUGAAUUCCUUCUCAAGUAAAUCAUUCAUAGCGUCAUUAACACGUGGCGGAACAAAUUGCAACAAAUCUGACAUGUCAUUGUAUCCCUGCGACUGAUAAAGGUUCUGAUAGAAAUCCAUCACCUCAGCCUCCACCUCAUUAGGAUCAUCACAGACCGAGCCAUCUGCUCUCUGUUGGGAGACAAUUCUAUUGCUUCGACUACGCUGCGCUGCCUGAGAUUGAUAAUAUUUUGUGUUCCGGUGUCCUUUGCGCAGCCAGUUAACUCUGGACCUUUGUUUCAUCCAAACCUCCUCUUGCCGUAAAACCUCUUGCAGUUGGGCGGCCACCCUUAGCUCUUCAGUGUUUGGCCCCCUCCCAAUGGAGGCUGCUCGUAGCCAUUCCAACUGCUUCUGGAGUUUCUUCACCUUUUUUUCAUUGUUUCCAAACUCACGGGCACCCCAGGACCCGAGUCCACUCUGGACAGCGGUAAGUGCAUGCACCACACCCUCCAAACCUUCACGGCCAGACUCUGAUUGCCAUAUUUCUCGCACAAGAGAAUUGUAAUCACUAUGAGUCUGCCAAACAUUUUCGUAACAAAACGGUCGCGGACCAUGCCGCCCCCCUCUCGCUUGUACUUUCCUCAACUCAGCAAGAACGUAACAAUGGUCACAUGCUGUUGAACUAAUGUGCUUGACACAUGAAAACGCAUACAAGGAUAAAAAACUUGCAUUAGCAAGAGCAUGAUCAAGUCUAGCUUUUACAUUUGCACUUCCAUGCUGCUUAUUAUCCCAUGUAAAGGGAACACCUCUCCAUCCAAGAUCUUGGAAAGAGCAAAAAUCAAUUACUUCACGAAAAGAACGCAUUUGCCACUCCGGCCUCACAUGCUCGCUGAAAUGCUCGGUUGCAUACAUAGUCUCGUUGAAGUCGCCCAUGCAUAGCCAUCCUUGAUGCGGAAUGCCAUGCAACGUACGCAUAAACUCCCAGCUAUGGUGUCUAUUUUCAGCUCGGGGUUCACCGUAAAAACCUGUGAAGUGCCAAGGUUCAGUAUGAUCAUAUCCCUUGACCAACACAUCUAUGUGAGCCUUACUGUAGUUUUUGAGUUCAACAUGCACACUAUCAUUCCAGUACAGCCCAAUGCCUCCACUUAGACCAUUGCUAUCCACAGCAAAACAACCAGAAAAACCAAGCAAGUUCUUAAGACUCUCAACACGUUUCCCUUGAAUUUUUGUUUCCAUUAUGAACAGAAGGGAGGGGGCUUCCUGCUUCACCACUUUGCGAAGCUCCCGAACUGUCUCCGGGUUCCCAAGCCCGCGACAGCUCCAACUCAAACAAUUCAUUGGGACGGGCAGGGCUGCAUUGCAGCCUCUGCCGAAUUCUCUGGUGUUGGUUUUUUCUUCUUCGGUAUCCGAUCGAAUUCCUCCUCAGUCCCAUCCUCUUCCCCACCCCUCUGUUCCUCAUGGCGCCCCGGCUCCGGGUUCUGUAACCCCUCACCCGAGGCAGUCAACAGAAGGGGAGGUGUGCUGUCGACACGGCGAUAAACCUGUUUUGGUGCCUCCUUUCUCUUGUUCACAUUGGUGUUCUUCUUCCUAAGAGAGUUCACCUCCUUACCACCUGCUGGAACGUUGCUGGAGUUCUUUGACUCCCUAUGACUGCCCGGUUCAGCAUGAUAUUCCUUUCCGGCCGAGUCACCGGAUGCAGUCUUCUUUCGCUCCUCAGCCCUCAAACUCGGACCAAACGGGAGCUCGCCAUUGGCAUCCCGUUGACCAGGAGUAGGACAGAACGGGUCAGCAUGACCCAAUCGGCCGCAAGAGAAGCAGAACUGAGGAACAUUCUCAUACUGGAUAUCAUAUGCAUCUUGCUGCUUCCUUUUCGCCGAAUCAAUCACAAUCCACCUUCUAAGAGGCUUGUUUACAUCAAUGGCAACCCUAGCGUGCAGAAAACCACCCAUGUGAUCGAACUGCGCCGAGGACGCCUGUGGAUCAAUCUGUUUAGCUAUCAUCCUUCCCCAUGAGUCAUCCCGGAGGUUGUAGGGCAAGUUCAAAACCCUUGUCCAUAGAUGGAGCCAGUCAAAACGAACCUCGUCCGGCCUCAUGCAAUCCUUAAACUCGGACAAAAUCACUGCAUUCUUACUUAUAUGCCAUGGGGAUCCUGCCCACACACGAUCACGAUCUCUCUGGGAUUCAAAAUCAGCCACAAACAUGUUCUCCCCCAUAGAUCUGAACUGAAGCCCCCAUGGAUUCCCCCACGCCAGACGGGGUGCAUUAGCAAUGGUGUUGAUAUGCAGCAGAUUUCAGUGAAGAACCUUCCCUGCUAAUAGCCACUUCUUCGGCGCAUCCUCCUCGCGAUCAUCGAUGACCAACGGAGUAGCUUCUUCCUCGGUAAUACCCAGCUUUCCUAGGGCCUCUUCCAGCCGAGCCCUAGCCGUGCGCGGCGAUUCUGACCCGCCCGCACCCUUGCCCCGAUCAGAUGAGGCCAUCUUCCAGGGAUCCCGCUGCGCACCGCCGAUCAGCCGUCGACGAGCGCCUCUUUUUUUCCCCGAACCCUAGUCGCCGCCGCUAGGGAAGUUUUUUAGGGUUUCGUGGAAAGUUACGAGCUAAGCUGCUAGGCUAGUUAGCGCCGGUUGAUCGAGUCUGCCGUAUAUAUACUAUAGACGUAUACUGUCAGUCUUUAUUAUUAUUAUUAUUAUUAUUAUUAUUAUUAUUAUUAUUAUUAUUAUUAUUAUUAUUAUUGUUAUUAUUAUUAUUACUCCCUCCGUCCAGGUAAUUGCACUAGGCAUGCAUGCAAGCGUGAGCUGGGAUUGGGGAGUGAUUGGUGCAUGCAGGUAUGGGAAAGAGAACAGCGUGAGAAGCCGAGCUGCUCGCCGUGUUUCGAGGGACGGCAUGCAGUUACUGCAAAAUAAAUCAAAUGUCUCUUGGUUUCGCUGUUUUGGCUUAGAGGCCCAAUAAAGAGGUAAUAUCAGUGCAAGUUAUAGAACUUGUGCUGGAUGUGCAGUUUGGUUCUAAAACUUGCAAACUACGGAAUUUUGGUCACUUAGCUUGUCUCAAUGUGCAAAUAUGGUGCUUUCUACCAUUUCAGGAUGUACGGCCUGCACACGUGGCGUGCCAGCACGGCGUAGGCCCGCCUGUCAAUGACCGAAAGCAUUUUUUUUUUCAGAUAACUCCCUUUCAUUUUAUUUAUUUACACACAAAAUUCCUCAAAUAAAAUUUAAAACUGCAACAAUAGGGAUUUGAUCCCACAAUCUGCAGCCCAGUUACUCACAUACAUUACCACCAGACAAAGCAGGCUAGACGCUUAGUAUUUACAAAAACAACUAUAUAUCCUAUAAAUACGGACUGUACAAAUUAUACUAAAUUUUAAAUCUAGACGUAAGACACGAGCACCAUGGUUCGAACUUGUUACCUUCUGAAUGAAGGUCGCGUGUGAGUGGGAUAACCUAUCACACUUCAUGUUGUAAAUGGACAAACAACAUUUAUGCUGUCAGACCUCGCAAAUUUUAUUUUUAUGUUGUCAGUUCUUAUGUCAUGUCUAUCCAAAACUAAAUUAUGUUUUUUUCUAAAUUUUCUGUGGAAUAGUGAAACUUUUCAUCGUGAUGUAGCUUAAGAUUACUUACUAUAUUUAGGUUGAGCUGGCAGUAUCCCUACUAUAUUUAGGUUGAGCUGGCAGUAUCCCUAGUAGAUAAUAAAAGGGUGGCUAAGACUACAAAUUUGCACACAGUACCUAACUUUUAAAUAUAGCUUUCCCACAAAAGAAAAUUUAUAUAUAGCUGGCUGGACUUGGGGCUCAUAAACUUGAAACUAUACAACACAAAACACUUUUAUCUAUAUUUAUCUCUAAGAAACAAAAAUCUAGUCUGUCUUCAGCUAAUUGUGAACAAUGUAAAAUGCAAAGGCAACAUAAAGAACAAACAAAAUACAUGAGAAUAUAAAUUGUUAAUUUUUUUCAAAAAAUAUAUGUUGUUUUCUUACAUAAGUAAAAGAAAAAAAUUAGACAACAAAGAUUUGGGUCCCUUUAUAGUAACAAGUGUCAUCAUGGUCGGAUGGUUAGCCCAUGCACAUGCAGCCAGCCACCAGCAGGACACAAAGGUUUGAACCAUGGGGCUCACAAUCUUCCAUUCAGAUUUAGAUAUUAUUUUGUAUGGUCUUCAAAGGACAUAUCAUGUAUAGUUGUGAAAGUUUAACAAGAGUCAUGAUUAGUCUGGUGGCUAUCCAUGCUAGUCGUUUAGUAGGCGAUCAUUCGUUUGAUCCACACUGCGGUGUCUUUUUUUCAUUUUAUUUGACUGAUUUUGUACGUGAGUAAAUAAAAUGCAAGGGAGUUAUCUGAAAAAAAAAAUGCUUCCAGCCGCCACUGACAGGUGGGCCUACGCCAUGCUGGUAGGCCACAUGUGCAGGCCAUACGUCCAGAUACGAGAGGAAGCACCGUAUUUGAAUGUGCGAACAAGUUAUAUGAUCGCAAUUCCGUAUUUUGCAAGUUUUAGAACCAAACUACACAUCAAACGCAAGUUGUAUGACUCCCGGUGAUAUUGACUCCCCAAUAAACCCAGACGGAGGUAGUACUAGCAAAAAAAGGCCGUGCAUUACAACGGAAAAUAAAUACCAUACGUCCCUAACAGAAUAAUCAUGAAUGAAGACCUCAGUGGGUUCACGUGCAUCCCAUCUAUGUUGCCGCUUACCCUCCUUCCGACCCUUAUGGAUGGCUGCCUUAGUGCUCACAAACACAACUCGCAUGAAUGCAGCCAAUUCUAAUGUGUCUCUCUUUCUAUCCGCAUAAGAUAAGAAAUCUACUUUUUCAUCUGGAGGUUUUACCGAGUCGUGCAUGUGUGGUUAUAGAUGGUUUCUCUCUUCCCCAAACUAAAUUUGCUGAGGUGUUGAUUUCUAACCUGAUCUACACUGGUACGAAAGAAAUAUGGAUCGUUUUCUAUUGAUUAAUAUUGUCCCUUAAAUAGAAUUUAAAAAAUGUUUAACAUGUAAAAGAACACCAUAUUCAGAUUCUACAUAUUUUUGUAAUCAAUUUCCAUAUAUAUAACGUCAAAAUUGGAGUUAGGGUUUAGAAGAUAUGAAUAUUCAAAAAACCAUUUGAAUCAUAUUUUUUAAAUAUUUAACAGGUAAAAUAACAUCAUAUUAAGAUUCUAGACAUUUUUCAAAGAAAUUCUCAUAUAUGACAUGUCAAAAUUGGAGUUAGGGUUUAAAAGAUAUCAAUAUUUAAAAAAAAAUUGAACCUGUCAAAAAAAGAUGGAUGGCAGGUUGAUUAACUAAAAGAUCAAGGGGUUCAUUAACUAAAAGAGCAGCGAGUUUUGUGAAAAACGAAAACGAAUCGUUUUUUUUCACUUAAAAUAGGACUACGGGUUGAAUUCUCAUAAACACGGUAACUUUUCUGCAAAAAUGACAAUGACGUACGAACAGAAGAGAUAGCCGCUUUUUUACUUAGGUAAAGAUAAAGAUUAUUAUUAUUAUUAUUAUUAUUAUUAUUAUUAUUAUUAUUAUUAUUAUUAUUAUUAUUAUUAUCAUCAUCAUCAUCAUCUUAAUCUCCGAAGGUCAUGACCACAUUUUACUGCAUCACCAAAAUACAUUAUCAUUCUCUUUUUCGUGAAAUCACGAACAAUUUUUGAAAAUCAUGAAAAAAUGUAAAUUGUGAACAUAUCUGAAAUCAUGAACAUUUAUAAAAUUUUGAACAUUUUUACAGCUUUGGGACAAUUUCUAAAAUCAUGAACAUUUUUUCAAUGCAUGAAAAUUUAAUACUAUUUGCAAAAAAUUGAACAUUUUUACAAAGAUUUUUUUUGAAUAGGCGAACAUUUCUAGAAUCGACGAACAUUGUUUUGAAAAUUGGUGAAACAAUUUCUAAAAUUAAUAUACCUUUUUUAUUUAACGAACCUUUUCUAAAAUGUGUGAUCAUUUUUUCAAUCAGCAAAACAUUUUAUGAAUCAAUAAACUAUUUUAUAAGCAUGAACAGUUUUUGAAUUUUUAGGAUGUUUUUUCAAUUCGUGAACAUUUUUUGAAUUGGUGAAAUUUUGUUAAGUUUUAUUAAAAAAUUUAAUACAUGAAUUUGUUUUUAAAAUUAUGAUAUUUUUAUUCAGAAAAUAUUUGUUUUCAAAAUCCAAACAUUUUUUGAAUUCACAAAUAUUUAUGAAUAAAUCAAAAUAUUACAAAAUUCGCAUUUUAGAAAAAUUCGGAACUUUUUGAAGUCCCAUGUAUUUAAAGUAGAGAAAAAGGAAGACAGAAAAGAAAAAAACGAAAAAUAAAAACAAAAUUUAAAAAACUAACUGCCCGGACAUGGGCCAGCCCAAACAGACACGUUGUAGUCUUCUCCCAGCGCGCAUAGAAGGUUCGUACUACAUGGGCCCGCCCAGGGGGGGGGGUUCUGUGUGAAUUUUUUUUUCAUUUAUAGAUGGCCUCGGUGGAUAGUAUUUUGUAAUUUUAGGGGCAAUUUCGGUGACAUGCCCCCACAAGCAACAGCCCCUUUAUUAUGAGGUAUAGAUUUUCUUUUCAUUCAUAUUGUGAUCUGAUUUUUGACAAAGACCUCCAUAAUAUUUAAAUUCAAUUUCAUCAUAAUUAUGAUUUGAAUUUUAGAAAAAUUGUAUAUUAUUUGAAUUUUAGAAAAUGAGUCCUAUGUCACGCCUUUCCUCUCUCGCUUCUCCCAGCGGUGUUCCGGCGGAGCGAUACAACAAGUAUGUAUGAGCACCCGGCGGUUGCUAUCCUGGUGCGCUGGUCCUAUGGGAUCUUAGCACGAUGACUUUCCGACUGUCUACUACAACAAGAUUUGUCCGGCUUCGAUGACGGCGGCGCGGCUUCGACUCGCUCCAAUGCUUGUAGCCUUCGCUAGGUUGUCUACGGAUCUGGAUGUAACUUUUUACUUUCGAUGUUCUUCGCAUUACCUUGACAAUUGAUGAAUAAAUUGAAUAUUUUCCUUGCAAAAUAAUAAUAAAAUGACAGGUAAAUCAGUAAAUCACAGUGAUUGCGUACAAAAUCAAUAAAUCUUUAACACACCGAUGUACAAGUGAUGGGCACGCGGUCGCGGGCUAACGUACUAGAAUAUUUAUGCAUUCUGCAACGCACCGGCACUUUUCUAUUUUUUUAGUUUAAAAAGUAUUUAAAUGUUCUGGAAAAAAAUCACGUGUAUAUGCAUUGGUAAGAAACUUACACGUGUAAAUAUUAAUGAAAUACUAUAACAGUUUGAGAUCCUGAUGAAAAUGAGGAAAUGAUGAUGACAAAAUUUUGGUUUUUUCUUUCCAUGAAGGUCGGUAAAAUGGACACAUGACUUUUCGAGAAUUUGCGUUUCUGAUUACACCAAGUUGUCUAGCACACGGGAAUGAAGGAGAAGCUACCCCACGACAACAGUCGGGAUUCUUCGUCNNNNNNNNNNNNNNNNNNNNNNNNNNNNNNNNNNNNNNNNNNNNNNNNNNNNNNNNNNNNNNNNNNNNNNNNNNNNNNNNNNNNNNNNNNNNNNNNNNNNNNNNNNNNNNNNNNNNNNNNNNNNNNNNNNNNNNNNNNNNNNNNNNNNNNNNNNNNNNNNNNNNNNNNNNNNNNNNNNNNNNNNNNNNNNNNNNNNNNNNNNNNNNNNNNNNNNNNNNNNNNNNNNNNNNNNNNNNNNNNNNNNNNNNNNNNNNNNNNNNNGACUCUCCCUCACUGAUUUCUCUCUGACAUUGCGACCGUCGGUGAUGGUAGCUCCUCCUUUCAUUCCUGAGUGCAUUACAUCAAAUGUCUAGCACACGGGAAUGAAGGAGAAGCUACCCCAUGACAAUAGUUGGGAUUCUUCGUCCUCUCAUAUAUGGUGGAGACUCGACAGACUUAAAGUCAACCCAAAAUAUCGUUUAAUUAUCUUUCUAAAAAAGGACAUAUCGUCCUCUCAUAUAUAGGACUCAUAUUGUCAUGGAGAUUUGGUUGGUCUCACCUCGAGGUCGGAGGGGGGUCGGUGACGGGGACGAUGGCGGGGAUGAUGGAGGGGUUCCUAGAUUUCUGCAAAAACAUAAACCUUAUAAGCUGUCAACUAAUCAAAUGCAUACGCCUUGCAUAGUGCUCUGCAAUUUUAGCAUUCAAAGUAGGAGUAUUUUUCCAAUUUGAGCAUUCAAUAAGCAAAACCAAAUCGUAAAAUAAAGUUAUAUUCAAAUUAGCAUGCAUUCAAUUAUAAGCAAAACUACAUCAUCUCUUCUGUCCGUACAUCGUCGAAUAUUAUCACUAAUACACCUCGAAUACUAUCAUACAUAUAGCAUCGCUAAUACAGAUAGAACCGUAGAGCCGGACGGGUAUCGGCGCGGACGGUAGACACCCAAAGAGAAGGAACCAUCACAGGAUCAUAGCUCCAGUGAGAUCCCUGAAGAACAUGUCAGGUAUUGUCGGACAUGCCCUCCAACGUAACCAUGUAGCGACGGGCGUGCUCGUCCUCCUCGCUGACACAGUGACGUACCACCUCCGCGAUGUCCGUAAGCCUCGGCACCGUCACUGGCCCAUGCGACCGCCACCAAACAAGGGUCGGGUUAACGACGGGUUGGCUCCUCACCAACCUACGCCCCCCGGAAGGUAGCACCUCCCAAUACCAGCCCGGCGGAGCCCAGUCCCGGACAUGGCCCCUCUGAUCAAGCUGGCCUCCUCCGCCGAGUCGAUGACGAGGAUGCGGGAUAAGCAUCGUCGACGCCGAUGCGGGAAUAAUUGCUUAAACUAAAAAAUAAACUAGUUCUAUUAAUUUUCUUGCUAAAAAUAAACUACUUAUAUAUAUAGUAAAAUAAAGUAGUUUUCUUAAAUCAACUAGUUCAACUACUACUAAGCACUUAAUUACUAUAAAUAAAAUAAAAUAGUACUUACUAAAAAUAAACUACUUCUAUAUAUAGUAAAAUAAAGUAGUUUUAUUAAAUCAACUAGUUCAACUACUAAGCACUUACUAAAUAAAAUAAAGUAGUACUUACUAAAAAUAAACUAAUUCUAUAUAUAGUAAAAUAAAGUAGUUUUAUUAAAUCAACUAGUUCGACUACUAAUUAAGCACUUACUAUAAAUAAAGUAGUUUUAUUAAAUCAACUAGUUCAACUACUAAUUAAGCACUUACUAUAAAUAAACUAGUUUAUUGGGGAGGGGGUAUAUCGAGAACGAUAUACCCGAUAAAAAAUAAGAAGAGGAAGAAGAAGAAGAAAAAGAGGAGAAGAAGAAUGUUCAUAGCAAAUAAUACACAUUAUAUGAAAAAGAAACACUGAACAGAGCCGUGGCGGCGGCUCACAUCGGGGGCGGCCGGCGAGGGGGUAUAUCAACUACUAAUUAAGCACUUACUACUAAUUAAGCACUUACUUCUUUUUUCUUCUUCUUUUUUCCUCUUUUUAUUUAUUUCUCCUCUUUUUUUCCACUUCUUCCUCUCUUCUUCCUCUCUUCUUCUUCUUCUUCUCCUUCUUCUUCUCCUUCUUCCUCUCCUUUUUCUUCUUCUUCUUCAUCUUUUCUUCCUUUUCCUUAUUUUACUUUUUCCUCUACACUAACCUAAAAUGCACCAACCUAAAAUCGAUAUCUACUAACGACCUAAAUAAAAAAUUAAUACUUAUAUGAAAAAACAUAUAUAAAUAAAAAAAUGCUAUGAACAUUAUAUUCAUACAUACAUAGCCACAUCCAUUCAUCAUAUAGCUACCACAUACAUAUAUACAUUAUAUAAAAAAUGAAAUGAACAAAAAAAUAAUACACAUUAUAUGAAAAAAAAUUGAACAGAGUCGUAGCGGCGGCUCCUCACAUCGGGGGCAGCCGGCGAGGGCGACGGCAUGGGCGGCGGAGGGCGACGGCGAUGGCGGCGGGGGGCGGAGGGCAACGGCGACGGUGACGGGCGACGGCUCGGGGGCGGCAGAGGGCGACGGCGUNNNNNNNNNNNNNNNNNNNNNNNNNNNNNNNNNNNNNNNNNNNNNNNNNNNNNNNNNNNNNNNNNNNNNNNNNNNNNNNNNNNNNNNNNNNNNNNNNNNNNNNNNNNNNNNNNNNNNNNNNNNNNNNNNNNNNNNNNNNNNNNNNNNNNNNNNNNNNNNNNNNNNNNNNNNNNNNNNNNNNNNNNNNNNNNNNNNNNNNNNNNNNNNNNNNNNNNNNNNNNNNNNNNNNNNNNNNNNNNNNNNNNNNNNNNNNNNNNNNNNNNNNNNNNNNNNNNNNNNNNNNNNNNNNNNNNNNNNNNNNNNNNNNNNNNNNNNNNNNNNNGCGACGGCAACGGCGACGACGGCGGGGCAGCCUGGCGGCGUCGAUGAGCUCGUCGUCGUCGGGCGGGGGGCAACUGGCGAUGAAUUUGUGAAAAAUUCCUAAGUGCUACUUAUAUAGCCAGAGUAUUGGUCCCGGUUCGUAGCACGAACCGGGACCAACGCCACCUUUAGUCUCGAUUGGUGCCACCAACCGGGACCAAAAAUCUCUUUUAAGCAGCCCAAAGGGCGGGAAGCAGAGGCCUUUGGUCCCGUUUGAUGGCACCAACCGGUACUAAAGGGGGGAAUUGGUUCCGGUUGGUGCCCCGAACCGGGACCAAAGGUGUGCAUUGGUCCCGGUUCGUGGCACCAACCGGGACCAAUGUCCUGCGCCUGUCAAAGCCGCGAUGCGGUGGGAUGUUUAGUCCCACCUCACUAGCCGAGGAGCGACAGGACCGGUUUAUAAGUCCUGCCCCGCCACCUCCAUUGAAUUCUUCUGAACUGCAGGCUUCUGGGCCUAAUCUCGCAUUGUUAUGCAUGUGGGCCUGCUGGGCCUUCUGCGGGCCUGAAUCCUGGCCCAUGGAUUGGUUUCUAGUCGUAUUCAAGCCGUGGUGACCUAGUAGGUGGCAUUUUUUAUUUUUUCUCAGUUUUUUUCUUUUCUUUUUUGCUUUAUUUAUUUUCUUUUGUUUCUACUUACAACAAAAUACUUACUGUUGCUAUUUUAUUUAUUUCAGGAAAAUUUGUUUUGCUUAUAAUGUUUUGAACAGAAAAUAGUUCGGUAAUUUUAGGUCCAUAAAUUUUAUUUAUGUUAUUAAAGUUUAUUUUUAUUUUAUUUUGUUUCUACUUAUAUAUUUUACUAAAGUUUAUUUAUUUUAUUUGUUUCUACAUACAUCAUCAAUUUUCAAUCCUUGCUGACUUCAUUUGUUAUUUUUCAUGCAUUUACUGAUUAUUUUGAGCUAUAAGACCCUGAAAUUGAAAAGCAUUUCAAAUGAACUCUGAAAAGGUUGAAAGUUGGCAUGGUAACAUCAUUUCAUCCACAUAGCAUGUGCAAGAAAGUUGAGAGGGUUACGGCAAAAACUGGAUGCACUUCGUGUACAAAACGGACAAUCUCUUUCGAAGUAUCAGGAUUUCAUACGGAAACUCGUCUGUUACAAAGGGAUUUCAUUUUUUUUAAACUUAUUUGAACUCCUAACUUUUUGUGUGUUCAAAAUGCACCAUUCAAAGCCACAUCGUCAAUUUUCAACCCCUUUCUAACUUCAUUUGUUAUUUUUCAUGCAUUUACUGAUUAUUUUGAGCUAUAAGACCCUAAAAUUGAAAAGUUUCAAAUGAACUCUGAAAAGGUUGAAAGUUGGCACUGUAUCAUCAUUUCAUCUACAUAGCAUGUGCAAGAAAGUUGAGAGGGUUCCGACAAAAACUGGAUGCACUUCGUGUACAAAACGGACAAUCUCUUUCGAAGUAUCAGGAUUUCAUACGGAAAAUCGUCUGUUACAAAGGGAUUUCAUUUUUUUAAACUUAUUUGAACUCCUGACUUUUUCUGUGUUCAAAAUGCAACAUUCAAAGCCACAUCAUCAAUUUUCAUCCCUUUCUGACUUCAUUUGUUAUUUUUCAUGCAUUAUUGAUUAUUUUGAGCUAUAAGACCCUGAAAUUGAAAAUUUUCAAAUGAACUCUGAAAAAAAGUUGGCAUGGUAUCAUUAUUUCACCCACAUAGCAGGGUAUCAUCAUUUCAAAGAAACUCUAAAAAAUGGACAAUCUCUUUCGAAGUAUCAGGAUUUCAUACGGAAACUCGUCUGUUACAACAGGCAUUUCAAAUGAACUACGAAAAGGUUGAAAGUUGGCAUGGUAUCAUCAUAAUAGUUGUGAAGAGAAAGUCUUCACUUUUACUUCGCUUGUGUCCUUUGAUUAUUGUGUCGUAACCAUGGAUAAUCUUCAUCGUUUAUCAGGAUGCUUGGGUCAGCCUUGACUUUGAAGGGAGGAAUUUCAUGAAGCUUUUCAUAAUCUUCAGACAUGUCUGUCUUGCCCUCCACUCCCAGGAUGUCCCUUUUUCCUGAAAGAACUAUGUGGCGCUUUGGCUCAUCAUAUAAUGUAUUCGCUUCCUUAUCUUUUCUUUUUCUCGGUUUGGUAGACAUGUCCUUCACAUAGAUAACAUGUGCCACAUCAUUGGCUAGGACGAACGGUUCGUCAGUGUACCCAAGAUUGUUCAGAUCCACUGUUGUUAUUCCGUACUGUGGGUCUACCUGUACCCCGCCUCUUGACAGAUUGACCCAUUUGCACUUAAACAAAGGGACCUUAAAAUCAUGUCCGUAGUGAAGUUCCCAUAUGUCCACUAUGUAACCAUAAUAUGUGUCACUUCCCUUCUUGGUUGCUGUGUUUUGGUUGGUGCUCUUUUGAUCUUGUGCGAUCGUGUAAAAUGUAUUCCCAUUUAUCUCGUAUCCUUUAUAAGUCAAUACAGUCGAAGAUGGUCCCCUGAACAACGAGUACAGCUCAUCAUAAACAAUGUUUUCACCUCUGAGACGUGUUUCCAACCAACUGCUAAAAGUCCUGAUGUGUUCACAUGUAAUCCAGUCAUCGCACUGCUCCGGGUGUUUGGAGCGCAGACUAUUCUUGUGUUCAUUGACAUACGGGGUCACGAAGGUAGAGUUAUGUAGAACUGUGUAGUGUGCUUGAGACCAAGAAUGCCCAUCCCUACAUAUUAUUGAGUCCCCUCCAAGCGUGUAUUUUCCAGUCAGUCUCCCCUCAUACCGCGAUUUAGGGAGACCUAUCUUCUUAAGGCCAGGAAUGAAGUCAACACAAAACCCAAUGACAUCCUCUGUUUGAUGUCCCAUGGAGAUGCUUCCUUCUGGGCCCAUGGAGAUGCUUCCUUCUGGCCUAGCACGGUUACGGACAUAUUUCUUUAGGACUCCCAUGAACCUCUCAAAGGGGUACAUAUUGUGUAGAAAUACAGGGCCCAGAAUGACAAUCUCGUCAACUAUAUGAACUAGGACGUGCGUCAUUAUAUUGAAGAAGGAUGGUGGGAACACCAGCUCGAAACUGACAAGACAUUUCGCCACAUCACUCCUUAGCCUUGGUAUGAUUUCUGGAUCGAUCACCUUCUGAGAGAUUGCAUUGAGGAAUGCACAUAGCUUCACAAUGGCUAAUCUGACGUUUUUCGGUAGAAGCCCCCCUCAAUGCAACCGGAAGCAGUUGCCUCAUAAUCACGUGGCAGUCAUGAGACUUUAGGUUCUGGAACUUUUUCUCUGGCAUAUUUAUUAUUCCCUUUAUAUUCGACGAGAAGUCAGUCGGGACCUUCAUACUAAGCAGGCAUUCAAAGAAGAUUUCCUUCUCUUCUUUGGUAAGAGCGUAGCUGGCAGGACCUUCAUACUGCUUUGGAGGCAUGCCGUCUUUUUCGUGCAAACUUUGCAGGUCCUCCCGUGCCUCAGUUGUAUCUUUUAUCUUCCCAUACACGCCCAAGAAGCCUAGCGGGUUCACACAAAGGUUCUUCGUCACGUGCAUCACGUCGAUCGAAGAGCGGACCUCUAGGUCUUUCCAGUAGGGUAGGUCCCAAAAUAUAGAUUUCUUCUUCCACAUGGGUGCACGUCCCUCAGCGUCAUUCGGAAAGAUUACGUGUAAAUCAUUGACCAUAGCAAGUACGUGAUCACCGGUACGCAUGGCGGGCUUCUUACGGUGAUCUGCCUCGCCUUUGAAAUGCUUGCCUUUCUUUCGACAUUGAUGUUUGGUCGGAAGAAAUCGACGACGGCCCAGGUACACAUUCUUCCUGCAUUUGUCCAGGUAUAUACUUUCGGUGUCAGCUAAACAAUGCGUGCAUGCGUGGUAUCGACGACGGCAUAGCAAGACGAUUAAAGCACUUUCGGACCUGCAUCUAGAGGAAUGCUCAAAUCGGUCAUUUUUGUGCAGCCAGGCCCGUGUGGUGCAACCCUAGGCAUGUGGGCGUGGCUGGUUGCACGUGUGGGUGCGGUCCCGAGACGUCGCCUUGUUUCCAAACGCGUCGUCAUAAUUACCCUCACCUCCCUUCCUCACCGCUCUCUCCCCUCUUCCCCACUCGCACCGAUGACUGCGACAACUUGAGCUCUAGUGCGAAGCAAUCCCAGACGGUGACGGCAACCACCAGAGCGCAUCGGCCAUGGCGGUAAGGCCUCGUCCUCUCUGUACAUUCAGUCAUUUUGACUCGGGCUAGAUUGGAUUAGAGCACUCGAUUGAAGAGUUAGGGAGGGGAUUGAACACGUCGAGGGUGCAGGAUUGCCAUCAAUCGAUUCUGCAUCGACGGUUACUAGGGUUCGUAGGUUAUCUUUCGACUACAUCGGGAGUGGGGAUAAGGGUACAAACUUUUUUGUCUAGCCGCGGCGACCCUGGAGUCGCAUCGAGCGGCGGGGCCGGGGGGCGUAGCCAUCUUGUUUUCUUCCUCCCUGUCUUCGUCAAGAAGGAUUGGUCUUGCACGGUCGCCUAUAGCCGGUGCCCUGGACAGCAUCUACACCUCGUCGUUGUCGGCCUCCAGCGACCCGAACGUGCUACUCCAGUACGCUGCCGCACGCUGGUCUUGAGGUGCCUUAUACUGACUGUACUUGGCCCAUCUUGCCCGUUGUCCAGCGUCGCCGGAGUCUGCCUGAUUCAUGGCCCAGCGCAGGAUGUCCACUGACAUCUUUCCCUUGGCUGGGUCUGGAACCAGUGUCUUCAGCUCCUCCGGCGUAGCGUUCUUCAUCACAGCAUCGGCCUCCUUGUGCAUGGCAUCGAUGAUGUUGAAGUUUGAGCACACUUCCAUGGUGUGCUCGAACUUCUUGUUGUCACCGAGAGAGCACCCAAGGAAGAAGGCCCUCCAUCCAAUGCCCAAGGGAAAGGGUUGGGGUUGGAGUUCAUGUCGAGGGGGAGGUGGUGAAACAGAGGGGGUUUGAGUGCGGUGCUAGGUUAACAUAUAGGAGCGUUUAGGCCGAUAUGAAUGAAUGCUGACCAUUGAACUACGUGUUGUUUAUAAUGUAGAUGGACAAGGGCAAGGAGGUGGUGCCACCAUUCGAGAAGGGCAAGGAGGUUGUGCCUCCAUUGGUCGAAGUGCCAGUGUAGGAUCGCCCAAGCCCGAAGUGGAGGAACUAUGGCCAGUACCAUCAAGAGUCAGGACCCAACCACUUCUCUAAGGUUAUCCUUGCUCCAAAGCUGGAGAGUCUAUCAUUGCCUCUCGACUUCAUGAAGCACUUUCCCGCCAUCCCUACAGAGUUCAAGCUCAAGACGAACACCGGCUGCGCAUGGAGGGUGACGGUGAGGUGAUCAACGGCAAGGUCACCCUUGAUAAUCAGGGUUGGGCCACCUUCACCGCCGUUCAUCAGAUCAUGAUCGGGUACACGCUGACGUUCAAGCUGCUGUCCCCCGACACCAUGAAGGUGAUCGUCUUCAACGACGAGGAAGUGGAGGUGGUCACCAAGUGCAAGGAGCACGACAAUGCAUUUGCCGCGACUGCCUGAGCUCCUCUUGCCCAUUCCUUGUUGGUUCUUGCUUUAAGACUUGGGUUUCGUUAGAACUAAUUGUUCUAUAUUGGUUUAAAACUUGUUCUGUAUGGUUAAGACUUAUGUUUGUGCCUAAAAUCGUUGUGUUGCUACUAGUUUAGUUGUUAGUAGUUCAUGUGCGCCUUUGGUAACCUCACCACUUCGAGGAGGAGGUUACCACACAACUGUCUUGGAUGUAACCAAACACCCGGACUUGUGUUUCACCUCAAACAAGUCUGCAACCAAACAGCAGACCUUCCGUUUUAGCACAUGCAGGCUAGAGGGGAUGCAGGCAACCAAUCAACAUGCAGAUGUUAGCUUUUGACCUGCAUAUGCUCAGCCAGACACAACUGGGACAAGUAUGCAAUGUGGCAAAAAACGAUGCAGGUAACAAAACGCGUCCUUAGCUUUUGAGCUUUGUAAUCACAUAAGAAAAGGAAUGAGAAAAUAGAAAACGUUUCGACAGUUUCAGUAGCACAAAUCUCUCGCUCGCCCAUGUCCAUCUCUCUCUCUCUUGAGCUGCUCACUCUCUUAUCUAGCUAGUUUGACAACGACAAUUCGCAUCGGACCGGCGCGCCCUCUCCAUCAUUCUCAUCGGCAUGCCGCCUGAGACAGUGGAGGCACCAGGACUCGGCCACGCCACCGGCCGCUCCAGGCAGCCUUUGAGUACUGUAGCAGCAUAGCUACAAUGUUCUCUACACUACAAUAUUCGAAGGGAAUCAGCCUCAUGCCUCGGGCAGCCGCCCGGGCUGCUUGGGGCCUAUCUCCACCGCUGGAUGGAGAUGAUGCGAGUACUAGCGGCCAAGGACACCGUCAAGGUCGCUAUGGAGACGAUCAAGACUCUCCGGAUGGGGAGUGAGCACGUGUGUGAGGCCAAGGCACAGGUAUGCGGCCAGGAGUUUGAAGAUCUCCAAUUCAAGGACGGCGAGUCCGUUGAGGAUUCCGCGCUGUGUCUCACCUGCAUGGUAGCUGACCUGGAGUUGCUGGCGAUCCAGUGACGGAACAAAAAGCCAUCUAGAAGUUCCUCCGGGUGGUGUCGCACAAGUACCGGAAGAUGGCCAUGGCCAUCGAGUCACUCAUCGAUCUAAAAACGAUGACGAUCGAAGAACUGGCCGGGCGCUUCUCGGCAUGCAAGGACCACUACGACCUUGACGACGCCUCUCAGUCCGCCGGUCGCCUCCUUCUCACUGCAGAGGAAUGGGCAGCGCGCCAGUACCAAUGCAGGGGUGGCUCUUCCUCGGGCGAGAGGCGCAAACCAGCGACCGGAAACGGCGGCACAGCUGGAUCGUGUCUCUUCGAUGCUGAGAAAAAGGGCAAAUGUCAUUACAACGGGAGAAGUAGGCAUUGGAAGAAGGAUUGCCGAUCUAGGAUCAAAGAUGAAGAGCAGCAGGGCAAGAAGGAGCAAGCCAACCUCGUCUGCGGCGACAAGCAUGAUCAAGGACCGCGUAUGGCCAUGGUCACCGACGUGGUUACCACUGAGAUCACCACUACCCAAGCGGUCUUCCUCAACGAAGAGAAAGUUAUCCCCUUUCCCUCACCCGACGGCGUCUUGUUCUUUGAUACCGGCACGAGGAGCCAUAUGACCGGUGAAAGGGGCAUGUUUGCAACCCUAGAUGAGACUGUGCACGGCAUGGUUAUGUUUGGGGACGGGUCCACGUCGGCAAUCCGCGGGUGUGGCUCCAUAGUCUUUCGGAGCAGAAACAGUGAUCAGCGAGCUCUCACCCAUGUCUUUUUAAUUCCCAGUCUCAGGAGCAACAUCAUCUCUGUCGGGCUGUUGGAUGAGGCUGGGUGCGUCAUCAGAAUUGAAGAUGGGAUCAUGCAAAUUCAAGACCCAGGGCGGCACAUCCUAGCACGCAUCAAACACUCUGGCAUGUGCAUUAGGCAUAUGGUUAGGUUGUACUGAUGUGUUAACUGAAGUUGUUUACUAGGCUUAGGCUAAACUGAUUUUUUGUUCUGUUAAGACAAAAUAUGAGUUAGUGUACUGGAUAGUUUAAAAUUUCUUUGAUUUGUAGUUUUUGUGUUAACUGGAAUUGUUGACUAGGCUUAGGGUAAAUUGUUCAUUCUUUUGUGUUAUAUUAAGACAAAAUGUUAACUAGUGUACUGAAUAGUUGAAAUAUUCUUUGUUUUGUAGUUUUUAUGAUGACAUUUGGAAGGUUAGGAUCCAUUUUGAUGCUGGAGAAAAUUUGGAGAGGAAGCUCUGCAGUUCAGAUGCAACAUAUUUGAAUAUAGUUGCACUGAUGGAAACCCAAGGAUUUAGUGUAUAUGAUUUAUUGUAUCACACUCAGACUCCAGGCUUAGGGGAGCAAGGGUUGCAAUUGGUAGAGAAUAAUGCUCAAUUGCAAAUGAUAAAGAGGCAGAAUAAGGAGAGUAUGAUGCUUAAUUUGUAGUUAGGGCAUGUCCACCCUCUGUUAGUGAAUUUCAGAGGCAAGAAUUGUUUCCAAUUGUGUAUCAAGGCCUAUUGUAUAUGAUCUGAGUGAGACUCCUAUCCUAGUUAUUGAUCAGCAAGGAGUUGUCUUUGAAAGUCAGUGUAGCAGCUCCAGUGCAGCUCAUGGUCCUGCUGUUUGCACACAAGAAAGCAGGAAUGUUAAAGGCAAGUUGAAAGCUGUUUUUGAAGUAGUAGUAGAAGAUGGAUAUGAGGGAUAUGAGGGCAGUGGUGCUUCUGCCUCUGAUUCUACCAUUUAGGGUUUAGGGUGCCUCGGCGUUGAUAGAACCAAUGAUGCCUACAAGUUAGGGUUUAGGGUACCUCUGCGUCGAUGGAAAAAAUGAUGCCUACACCAAAACUAAGCUUAUAGGAUAGGGUGCCUCUUUCUUUGUUCAACUUUUACUUGAACUAUAAAAAAACCACAACAAAACCAAAGCAUCUACUAUAUCUGAUGUAAAGCAUGAUAGCUCACAAAUCAAAGAUCAACCAUUGCUCAACAUAUCUGAUCCAAAACAUAAUAGCUCACGAAUUCUAGUCUACAAAUCAUAGCACAAAAUACUUAGUGGAGUUCAACAUAUUAUAACAUACACAACCAUGGUUCACAAUCAUAGUGGAGUUCAAAUUAUAGCACAAAAAAAAUACUUAGUGGAGUUUGUGGUGGCCGAGGCAAGCAUGGAGGGCGUUCGUGGGCGGCCACUCCCGGACUUUGCGUCGCGCGAGUCAAUCGGGUCCAAGGCUACCAAGAGCACUUCCAGCAGCUCGUUGACCGGGUGGAGGAGCACAGGGCCGCCAAGUACGUUGAGACGGCCAUCUCGGGCUCGGAAGCCCUGUGUUGGCAAUGACAUCGUUCAUGUCCUUCAGCUUCGACACCGACUUCGGCUUUGGGCGCGCCGCGCUAGUGAUGUCCACGUCCAACGACGGUGCGAGACUCUGCGACGGCUUCGUGCAGAUCAUCGCGCGCCUAGGAGGCGACGACUGGCUCCUCACAAUGCACAUGUGGCCCAGGCUGGCCGCCACCCUCGACUCCGACGAGCGGCGCAUCUUCAAGCCUCUCAUCGCUGACUAUAUUAGCCUCAAUCAGUAUAGCCGGCUCUGAAUCUGAUCGCCCAUGUAUGCAUGUCGUUGUUGUCUCUAGCUUCCGAGCUUGAUUUAUUAUGUAUCUGGUCAUGAGGACUGGGGAGAGGAGUGGGUCGGCGAAGGGAUUGAUAGGGUUGCUACCACCAGAGAGGGAGGACUGGGGAGAGAAGUCCAUCGGGUGAGCGGAAGCGGAGGGGUGCGCCGGCUAGGGUUUUGGUUGGGUUCUUGUUUAGGUGCUACGGCGGCCAGGUGGGUGGAAGGAAGAUGUGGAGAGGAGGGGUGUGCAUGCGGUGCUUGAAGGGAGCAGCGGUAGGAGGUGGUGUAGUGGCGCGGGUUGGGUGACAUCAUCAGAAUUACGGCGGCACAGACGGGUGGGCAGCGGGGUGGAGCAACGGCGUGAGGUGGGAGAGAGAUGCGGGAUAUCGGUGGCGCAGUUUCGAGAGGGAAGCAGCGGUGGCGGUGGCUUGGUGAAAGCAGCGGCGGCGCGGUUUCGGGAGGGAAGCAGCGGUGGCGGCGGAGCGGUUUCGGGAGGGAANNNNNNNNNNNNNNNNNNNNNNNNNNNNNNNNNNNNNNNNNNNNNNNNNNNNNNNNNNNNNNNNNNNNNNNNNNNNNNNNNNNNNNNNNNNNNNNNNNNNNNNNNNNNNNNNNNNNNNNNNNNNNNNNNNNNNNNNNNNNNNNNNNNNNNNNNNNNNNNNNNNNNNNNNNNNNNNNNNNNNNNNNNNNNNNNNNNNNNNNNNNNNNNNNNNNNNNNNNNNNNNNNNNNNNNNNNNNNNNNNNNNNNNNNNNNNNNNNNNNNNNNNNNNNNNNNNNNNNNNNNNNNNNNNNNNNNNNNNNNNNNNNNNNNNNNNNNNNNNNNNNNNNNNNNNNNNNNNNNNNNNNNNNNNNNNNNNNNNNNNNNNNNNNNNNNNNNNNNNNNNNNNNNNNNNNNNNNNNNNNNNNNNNNNNNNNNNNNNNNNNNNNNNNNNNNNNNNNNNNNNNNNNNNNNNNNNNNNNNNGUGGCGACAGCACGGUUUCGGGACUGAAGCAGCAAUGGCGGCGGCUUGGUGAAAGCGGCGGCGGCACGGUUUCCAAAGGGAAUCAGCGAUGGCGGCGGCUUGGUGAAAACGGCGGCGGCACGGUUUCGAGAGGGAAGCAGCGGUGGCGGCGGCUUGGUGAAAGCGGCGGCGGCGCUAGGGUUAGAUCAAAGUUAGACUGAUACCAUCUAGAUAGAUGAUAGGACGCAAUUCAUGUAUACUCACGGGCAUCCAGUGCCAAUAUAUAGAUGUAUAUUUCACGCAAAAGAAAUAUAGAUGUAUAUAAAGACGUCACGUCCAAGACUAAAACACUGACAUGCUAGAAAUUAGAUGGACAGGUAUUAGAGUACAAGUCUAUAUACAUGUCUGGUGCUCAACAUUAGUGAUGAUAAAGUCAGUUGUGCUCCACUAAGAUUGUAGAGCUCAUCGGAAAUGAACCUUCACCUCAAAAUCUCUGAAGCAUGUACCCUGUUAUUUGAAGAAAAACAGUACGUACCCUGUACUUGUGAUCCCGGGUUUAUCUCGACCCUGAACCUGUCCGGCGCGGGAAAAAACUAUCCAAUACAAAACUCAUGAACUGAUUAUUUCUCAUUUUUUAGUACUCCCUCUUACUACUUUAUAUAAUGAUAUAAACGAUCUUAUAUUUCUUUACGAAAGAAGUACUACACUGUACUGUAUGUACACUGAACAACACCUCGAUGGGUUUCUCCAUGGACAAAGACCUGCGACUUGCCUCGUCCCUGGUGCAGUCGUCCCCGUGGAUGUGACGACGGUAAUCUGCAGCGCCGACGACAAUACAUGAACGCAUGUCGUUGCCCGCUGAAUGAGCGUGAGGGCUUGGCGUCGACAGAGAGGACACCAAACUGGUCCGAGGCUGUGGUGAGCACCGACGGCGGCGACUCCGAGGGGCCGUUGCCGUCGUCGUCGUCGGACAGGUUGACGGUGGUGAUGCCAUGGAUGCUGCACGGCCCUUGUUGUCCUUUCCGCUGGAGGUGAGCCAAACGAUCUCGUACCACUCCCACCAUAGGCGCCCAAACGGUUUGCAAAUUAACCAACAGAAGAAGGAUCGGAUCAACGUUGAGUGCACAAUGCUGGAACAAACUCAAUGCUGACUGGCGCAUCGUGUUUUAGGGCAGGACUAUUUGGACUAAACAUCACGGGCGCUCCUUCUCAGCAAAUUCGCUCAUUUUCUCUUAGGGGUCAACCUUUUUCUUUUUUGAGAAAAUCUUACGGAUAAACUAAGCUUUUUUUUUUGGCGGCGAGGGAUUAACUUUUUUUUUUUUGAGAAACGGUGGAGGGAUCAACUAAGCUAGUGGGCCGCCCAGGGUGCGCUUAGCUGUUGGUGGGCCGGAACCGCUCGAUUCACCGUCUCUUAUUUAAAGAAUAGUCCCCUAAAAAAUAGUACUAAGAGUCAAAAACCAAAUUUAGUACCACAUGGCUCGUUUCUAAAUCUGUUCCGCAGCUUUAAAUAGGCUGCUGGAGGGGACCUCCUAUUGCGUGCCUUCAGCGCCGCGCAACCUAACUGGCGCUUGCAACAACGUCUGGGUGGGCCAGCCCACAACCUAACUGGCGCUUGCAAAAAUAUCAAUAUAUUUGGCAAACUCAAAAAGAGUUUAUGAGUUUAAAAAAAGUUCAUUGAUUACAAGAAGGUUCAUUAAAUAUGAAAAAAGUUCAUCAAAUUUGAAAAAAGUUCAUUAAUUGGAAACAAGUUCAUCGGACUUGAAAAAAGUUCAUCGAAUUUGAAAAAAGUUCAUCGAAUUAAAACAAGUUCACGAUUUUCGAAAACAGUUCAACAAAAAAUGAAAAAAAUUCAUCGAUUUGAAGAAAAAACUUCAGGAAUUUGAAGAAAAAGUCAUCAUAUAAAGAAGAAGGGAAACAGAACACGAAAAAUGGACAAAAGGGAAAUAGGAACAAACAAAAUAAGAUUUCUUUGAGGGAGCAAAACAAAUAAUUGAAAGGAUAGAAACUACCAAAUCUGUCUAACUGGUGUAGUGGUUAGCGCAUUAUUCCCGACAAUUUUUUUGCGCCUUAGAAAGCGAAGUUGGGCCGGCCCAGCGCGGACACCUGCAGGCGCCAGUUUGCAAAAUGCACACAAACUGGCGCCUGCGGCGCUAAAUAGGAAUCGCCCUGCUGGAGGGCUACGCAUCGCCGACAACGUGGUCAUGAGCCAGUUAGCGCUGGCUGAUCGACUCUGCCUUGUCAAACGCGUUCACGUAAAAUAACAUCAGAUUCAGAUUCUACACAUUUAAAUCAAUUUCCAUAUAUGCAAUGUCAAAAUUGGAGUUAUGGUUUAUAAGAUAUGAAUAUUUUUAAAAAGCAUUCGAACCUGUCAAAAAAAAAGAUGGAUGGCGGGUUGAUUAACUAAAAGAUCAGGGGGUUUUCCUAAAAAACGUGAAUCAUCUUUUCCACUUAAUUUAGGACCAUGGGUUCAUUAACUAAAAGACCAGGGUUUUUUCAAGAAAACCAACUGUUUUUUCACUUAAAAUAGGAUUACGGGUUGAAUUAUCAAAAAGAGAUAGACUUUCUGCAAAAAUGACGACGGCGUACGACCAGAAAUGAUAGCCGUUUUAUUACUAGGUAAAGAUUAUUAUUUUUCAUUCAUAUUGUGAUCUGAUUUUUGACAAAGACCUCCAUAAUAUUUAAAUUCAAUUUUUCUUCAUAAUCAUGAUUUGAAUUUUAGAAAAACUGCAUAUUAUUUGAAUUUUAGAAAAUGAGACCUCUUUCGUGUCUUUUCUCUCUCGCUUCUCCCCGCGGUGUUCCGGCGGAGCGACACAACAAGAAUGGACGAGCAUUCGGCGGUUGUUGUCCUGGUGCGCUGGUCCUAUGGGGUCUUAGCAUGAUGACUUUCCAACUGUCUACUACAACAAGAUUUAUCCGGCUCCGACGAGGGAGGAGCGAUGACGGCGGCGCGCCUUCGACUCGCUCCAGUGCUUGUAGUCAUCGAUAGGUGGUCUACGAACCUUGCUAAUAAGCUGAUAGAACAAAACCUUUGGUUUAUCUCUAACUCUCGUCCAAACAACUAAGGAAGCAAACUUAAUUACGUGCUUUAUUUUAGCAGAUAAUCAUUACAGAAUAAAUAACAAAAAUAAGUAAAGAUAAUUUCUUUGGUGGCCCCCGUCCGCUAUCUCUCAAGGAAAGUAAUAUCCACCGAAACCUUCUGACGUGCACGUCUAGCUACUGUGGCCUUGGACGUGAGAAGUACUCGUAGUAGACUAGGAUUCUGUGAUAAGUAUCAAGAAAAGAAAUCUCCUGUAUUUGUACAUCUACAAGUUGAACUUAUUCUAGACGUAUCAACCAAAGAAAGAUUGAUCAUGCUCGUGUUUGUGAGGGACUUUGAUUGUACUAUAUUAAUAAAAAGAUUGAUCAACACUUUAGUGCAUGAACCCUUCCUUCCAUGCACACAUAUGUACCUCUUCUCUCCUAAUGCAUGCAUGCUCAGCCUCUUAUUUUUCUCUUUCUUAUGCAAGUGCAUCUCUAUCAAUGCCAUAUAAUGGAUGCAUGCAACUUCAGCUAAAUUUGCAAUGUUUUCAUCGUACUUCUCAUCAACGCCAAUAUACUUUCGCACAUAUUCAUCAUCAGACUGUUUUGGUAUAACAGAAGCAUCACUGACGACUUGAACAAGUACCGGAUUAUUGAUGCCAAGUAUUGACUUGGUCAUAUCAGAUGAUCAAGAGGAUAUUCAUGAGUACCAUCUUUCUUACACUAUUUGGUUACCUCCCGGAAAUGAAUAUGCCAUAUGACAAGGCCAUGAACAUUAGCAAUGGUUUUAUCGGCAUCGUCAUCCUCUUCACGCUCAUUGGCGGCUACCUCUCAGACAUGCAUCAUGAUCAAUUGAUCAUCACCCCCAUGGACAGCGUGGUAAUAACUACCUUAAGAUGUUGUUCACAUUUCCAUAAAUGAAACGAACUAAAACAAUGCAUUGUAGUGAGACUUCGAUUUGUGUUUUUUUGUGUGUGUGUGUGNNNNNNNNNNNNNNNNNNNNNNNNNNNNNNNNNNNNNNNNNNNNNNNNNNNNNNNNNNNNNNNNNNNNNNNNNNNNNNNNNNNNNNNNNNNNNNNNNNNNNNNNNNNNNNNNNNNNNNNNNNNNNNNNNNNNNNNNNNNNNNNNNNNNNNNNNNNNNNNNNNNNNNNNNNNNNNNNNNNNNNNNNUAGCUCUCCCUACGAGUGAAUUGGUUUGUACUCUUCGGUAUCAUGUGAACCUCUCAACGAUCACUCUCCUCUUGUUAUUCAUGAUACCUUUCUUGCCAUUGCCUACCAAGGACAUUACUUUAUACACUCGUAGCAUUGGACAAUAAGGACAAAUAUGCGGCAUGUGUGUUGGUCAUAGAAAACUCCUACUAUGGAAUAGUCAUUUCCACGUGAAAUCCAUGAAAUGCAUAAAAAAAAGUUGGACAAAUCUUUACUCCUAGAAAAUGAUUUUUAUUACUACUUUGGAUAGAUAAAAUAAACAGAUGACCCUGAGAAACUAGUGAACCGAGUGAUAAAGCUGAGAGGCUUAAAAUCUAGUUGCGUCCUUACCCAAUGUUGCUUAUGUGACCUUUCUGAUUUUUUAUAAAAAUGUGAAACAACUCAUGUAUAUAGGUUGGUACAUAUAUUUUGUGCACUUGCAAAUCUCUCAUCUAAAGAUAUAAUCAUUUAUGUCCCUCACAAGAAAAAACAAGUGAUAUGUAAAUAAAAGAGGAUUUAACUCAUAUAUUUUUAUGUUUUUGGUCAUGGCACAAAUGGUUAUACUUUUAGAUAACAUGUCAUAGGUGCACAUGUGAUACAACUAUUUUGCAUCAAGAUUUGAGAAGGUGAACGGGUGAACUCUGGUCAUCAUUUCAGCCUCUUUUAGCAUAUUUUAUCAAGAACUUCUAUUUUGUUGUAGAGUUGCAUGUGACGUUACAGCGAAGUGCCGAAGAUCUAGCAUUUUUAUAUGUUUUCUAAAAAUAUGAGAGAAACAAGUUGAAAGUUUUACAACAUUCGUGCUGGAAGAGAAGCGUGUGUGCAUUCCCAUGAUAUAAUUUUCAUUUUAUGAAUGUAGACUACGCAACGAGAAAUGAACGGGUUUGUUUUUCAAAUAUUACAACAUCCAAAGACACAACAUUCUUUUUAAGACCAAAUAACACCAUUUUUAUUGUUGCAUCAAGCUGGUUCACACAGUAUGAGCGAAGGCAAUGGUGAAACAAAGCAAGUUCUACCAAGAGAAACACAAUGCACCAUACUCGCCAAGAUUAGUUGGUCCAUCUGCUAGAGGGAAUAUAAGAAGAUCAUGAGGGAUGACAUAUAGCUAUCACUCAGCUCGCGGCCAUGGACCUAAGUAAAUCGUGUCUCGUGUCAAACUGAUCUCACCUAAGUUUAUUAACGGGACCCUUAUAUGGUCUAUUCACCCUUUAUGCGCAUAUAUGAUCAACGCAAAUUCGGCAUCGGUAGCCCCAGAUUAUGCCCACCAUGGAUGGAUUAGCUAAUCUCAUCGAAGCAACUUCGACAACGUCCCCUCCUCCAUCGGCUCUAAUAGUAAAACCCAACAUAUGACGGCAACCUAAGAGGGAGAAACCACCCUGAAUAUCUUAGCGUGGGGCGCACGGUCGAUAAUUGUUUCCACUUCUUUAAGCUUAGAAAUGUUUCACAAUUAAUUACCCACUUUUCAAUGGUUAGAAAUGUUUCAGGAGCAAUUAUCUUCAUAUUCUGUAAGUUGGUGUGCUGAUGUGGAGCAGAUAAAGAUUGCACACGGCUCUUUCAAAUCUCAUGUAAGUUCUUAUAAGAUAUUUAAUUCCAGUCGGGAAGACACACUUGCUGCCAUGGGCAAUUUCAUCUUUGUUACAUGUUUCCAAUUUAUCAACAAUGAACACAAUAAAAAAAAUCCAAUCCUCAACACCAAUCACUUCACACUCUGGUACUGACAGAACGAACUGAGCAGCGAACAUUUUGCUUCAGAACACAUUCAUAGCUCAUCAUGUAGUUGUUCUAAUCAUUUGUUUGCGCGCCGCUUCGGCCCGAGUAGGUUGGUCAUCAUCCUGAGCACACAAGAAAACAUAACCAGAGAUCAGCAUAAAGCCAUAAACACAAUCACCGUUGUUUUCACUGCUGGGAAGUAGAACCGAACACUGACCUCUGGAUCCGGUUCCGCGGCUUUCUGCAACAGCAGCAGCACCCCCCCAAAAUCCCAAACAACAAAUGGUUUAGUCAGUCAGUCAGUCGCUUCCCGGUUUCUCUUGAGUAAAUUUCAUAAGAGCGCGCACACUUGCCUUUCUUUCGGCCUCACUACGAUCUCGUCACGCACCACCGCAGCGCCUGCUAUCGAGGUCGAGGCUGUGGUCCUCGGGGGCUGCUCCCCUAUUCUAGGGACAGUCUUCACCUGAAUGAAAGAAAAGACGAUGUGGUCAUUUGAUCAGACCUGCUCUGAAUGUGUUUAAUUAUGUACUGAAGAUGCACCGCGGAUCGUGAACUCACCAGGUUCCUGUACUGAAGAUUGUAGAAUAUCUGCAGGUACCGCUGUUUGGCCGCUCUCUCCUCCUUGUUCAGAGUCCUCCAGAAGCCAUACAUCGAUCCCAUGUUCAGCACUUUAGUCGCGUAUAUCUUCCAUGUGUAACUGCCAUCAUGUGUAGCACACGGUUACAUUUUCACACCAGGUGGCAUAGGAAGGUUGGUGUUGACCACUCAAGAGGCAAGGUAAGGAUCGGCGCCUACCAUUCGUAGAUGCGCUGAAGUCCAGCAGUGGACACCUUGUUCCAGUAGCUUGGGUCUUCCUUGCACUUCUGGAAGAAGUCUGCAAUCUUGGUCCCUGCCCCCCUGCCGUUCGUCGGGUUUAUGUGGAAACCUGAGACGCCAUCGACAAUGAUCUCCGCUGGCCCUCCCUGGUUUGUCGCAAAGGUUGGAAGCCCGCAGUUCAUCGCCUCGAUGACUGUUAGCCCAAAUGCUUCGUAGAGUGCAGGCUGAAACCAGAGAUAUGCAUUAUGGUUCAGGCUUUUAUGUAAUGGUUGGUUACUGUGAAGCAUAGAUUUCAGAGGAUGGAGCCCUAUAUUGUUCAUGCCCGAACAGUUAGUAUUGCAUACCUGAACAAAUGCACCCUUUGUAUCUGCAAUGUAACGGUACAGCUCGCCGUUACGGACACGGUCAGUCUGAGCCUUGAUCCACCGGAUCUGUCCUUUCAGCUGGUACUUGUCGAUCAAAUUAUGCAUCUUGUUGAUCUCGUCUAUCUCUUCUCGGUCCUUGGACUGCGCAGCAUUCAGGAGGCCUGCAACGACGACGAGGUUCACAAGGUCCCUGACCUUCUUGUUCUGGCCAUACCACUCCACUAGUCCAGUGAUGUUCUUCACCUUGUCCAGCCUUGCCAUCGAGAAAAUGAUUGGCUUAUUUUUGUCUGCCAGAUACCCUCUGAAUUUGGUAGCAUUGCAACAAUUAGCAACUUUGUCUGAUCAAGCAAAAGUAUGUGUGUUCCUAAGGGACUUGACUUACAUGUGUUCGUCUGUAUCCUCCUUGCUGUACAGUAACUCCUCAAUUUGUGGGUGUAAACCUGUCAGCCGCUUCUGCUUCUGUGUGUAGGGGAAGUAGACGGACUGAUCGGCGCCAGGGGCAGCAAUGUUGAACUUCGGAUCAAAGACAUUGAUGCCCGUGGCGAAGCGGCAAAGCCCGGGCAUUGUGAAUGCAUAGUGGUGUUCAUAUUGACCAGGCUUCUCCUUGCUGCACAAUAUGUCAAUGUUAGAAGUUUCUAGGUGCAAGUACCCAAGCGCUGCCUGUUAGAGCACUGAAGUUACAGUAAUAUUCAGUCUACUGACCUCCCAGCAAUUUCUUGGUAUGUGCUAGUGAUGAUAAAAUCGGUAGUGUUCAUGGCAAUCAUAUCGGCAGUGAAUUGGCAGGAGAAAUGGUAUUUUUGGUCCAGCUCUCUCCACUUGGCAUCUGAGUUCUCAUACUUCGUCUUCUCGAGAGCAUGUGCAAUUGUUCCCUGUCAAAAAGACCACUUAGGGAUGCCAUGUCAACUGUGGUUGGUGGUAAAAGAGAUCUUGAGGAAUCCUCUUUGAUCAAACAUUUUCCUACCUGUGUGACACCUAGUUUGCUCGACAUGAGGGACGCCACUAAGUUGCCGUCGGUGUAGUUGCCAAUGAUCAAGUCUGGUUUGCCCUCUAGAAUGUCAAGGAUCUUGGCAGAAGCAUCCUGAAAUCAUGUCAGGAUAAAGCUUUAUUAAAGAUCACUGACACAAGAGUGAAGAUAAUUAAUAAUUUGCAGCUGGCAAACCUGAGUAUAUCUCUCUAGGUACGGGUAAAUGUCAAACCGAGACACCCACUGGCGCAAAUCUUUCCCGUCUUCAGUCUUGAAUGGCACACGGAGUAUGUGUGAAUAUUUUGUAUUUUCAACCGGUUCGAGCUCCACAUUGCAUUUUGUGCCUUUGGAAUCUGGUAUCAGUCUUGUUAGCUGCGGCACAAUUGUAGCCAUUAGUUUAGCAGUUCUACAAAUUACACAGCAGGAAUGGCUAGGAUCAUGGCCUUACCACAAGAAUCUUUGGUGUUAUAUGCAAACCCUGCUGCUUGAUUCUUUGCACCAGCUCCUCUUCCAUGGACCUGACUUGGUCCAGGAUGUAGACAACCUGUCAUAGCAAAACCAUGCCUUCAGAAUGUGACACCCUGAUCAGAGUAUUAUGUCCUAUUAUCUGCUAAUAAUAUCCAUACCUGACCGCCGGUGUCUGGCAAUCCUAGAACCUUCUCUUGGCCAAAGUAACCAUGGAUGGAGAAGAUGACGAUGUUAAAUAUGGAUGGGACCCUGCUGAAGAACUUCUCCAUGUUGAUAGGAUCUGGUGCCUGGAGCACUUCAGAUAGGAAAUUCAGAGUCUCCUUGCACCUUUCUGCGUUCUCACCCCAUCCUUUCUCCAAUCCCCACUCCUGAAAUCUGCAAUACAAUUCAUGAAGAAACGUUAGGCAUAGUUGCAUAUUUCUGUACCAUCAAUUAUAUGUCUACUUAAUAUGGCAGCACAUCACCUCUGUUCAAAUUUCAAAUAUGGUGUGAAUUUAGGCAGCCCGCUGACAAAAACUUCUGCAAGGAGCAGCGCUGUCUGAAGCUUGUCGACCGUAUCGAUUGUGUCGUUGACCAUCAGUUUCUGCAUAUUCAUAAGGAUAUAUAAGUUUAAUCAGUCGAUUAGUUCUGAUCUUCUGAUAGUCUCUGUGAUAUGGAUGACUGAACUCUUUACCUCGCCGCGGUAAUUCAGGGUGAGCAAAUAGUCUAGCAAUGGCUUCAUGCUUUCAGGCUUCUCAUUCAGCUUUGAAGACAUGAAUUUGGAGAUAAACUGCAUCCCAUUCCCUAUGGACGAGGGCAGCGUCAGAUGAGGUGUUGAGAGGUCAAGAGCGCCAAAAUCAACUUCCAAUGAAUUGUCAUCCUUGGCCCUGAAAUUCACAUGAACAGACCAUAUUUUUCAGAUUCAUGAUUUUACUCAUCUAGCAUUAAAUUAGCUCUCUGAUCCAUGUCAAAGAUCACAUGAUAUUUGGUAAGAGUAAGACAUACCAUUUCUCAUCAUAUAAGGUCUCUUUGAACUUCAGGUACUCUGAUGGUGUAAUUCCUUCGACCGACAGAUCAUCGGAGUGAACUUUGACGUAUUCCCAGAUGCCAGGAUUCAUUCUAACAGCGAAUGCAACGAAUGGCGGUAGCACUACAGCUUCCUGCAAACAUAAAGGAUUCCAAAUCUGAUAAGCUCCUUCCAUCAAGCUUGAUUCUAGCUGCAGAAGGGAAUCAGGGAAUGUAAAGCAAAAUAACCUGUGUCGAACAAAUAAUGUAACCGAGAAAGCCUUCAACAAGCUUUUCCUUCUCAGCUUUGUCAUCUAGUGAUUUUUCCAGCUCCUCCACGAGCUGCUGGUUCUUCAAGAGCCUCCUGCCCUUCGAUACAUACCUGAAACAUUUUUUGUCCCAGAUUUCAGGAUGACAAAGCUGACCACAGCAGCAAUAUUUCUUGAUGCAAUGCAUGCCAUAAAGAACACAUUAACUUUUAGUACCUUUGGAAGCAUCUCUUCAUCUGGUACCGGCUUUGUUGCAGCGCAUCAGGCAUGGUUUCAGCGAUGCUGUCCAUUCUCUUGAAGCUGAGAUUGGAAGCCAUGGUGGGAGACUACCAGGCUUGAUAAACUGGGUGGAGAAGAUCAAAGAACUAUUUUUGGAGAAGCAAAACUACGAAGGAAUGUUGCUAAGAAGAUUGUGAUUGUCUGGGUGCUGAUGGACAACAAUUUAUAGGAGAGGGCACAAAACCUCCCUCCAUGGAGAAAGAUUUAUUUUCUCUGGACAUGGCUGGAAAUGCAAGGUAGAUGAUGCUAAGCUGAAAGGAGAAAGCACAACGCCUGGGAGAAGUUAUUCCAAAGAGACACACAAGGCAAGAAAGGCGGCAUUACAUCAUUACACUGUAAGAUUCCUCAUGACUUGUCACCAUUUCUUAUCCCUUUGCCAGCAGUUUUGACAUCCAAACGUGAGGCAUUAGGUAAACUUUUUGCCAUUGGACAUCCACACUAGGCCAAGAACUUUCAGAAGAUCACAAAAGGCAAUGAAAGCAUAUUCUCUCUUGGAGCUUGGGUUAAGCUUCCUUAAAAUUUCAGAAGAUGCACAGCAAAUUGCUUGCUACCUGAUAUGAAGCAAAAGACCAGGGAUCACCUUGUUGCAAUCUCAAUACCAGAAAGGAAACUCCAGAGCAUCAAAUGAAGAAAAAAAAAAGAUACAUUGAGCUGAGCUCUUUAUUUCAAAAACUCGAUAGCAUCAAAGAGAGAUAUACAAGCAAUUUUUUUUCAUUAAUCAGAACACAAACUUCAAGAGAUUGCAGCAUCCAUCUCCAUUCAAGGUAUUAAACAAAUUGAGAGUAUCCAAUUUCAGGAUAAUCAUGAAAUUUGCGCACAUAAGUUUGCCAAUUACAUAAAUAUACAUGUUUGAUAGAAAACAUUCUGACAUGAAAAGAAAAAAACAAAUCCAUGUACACAAGUGGCAAUACUUUACACUCAUCAAAAUCCAUCAAGCUCAAUGUUUACAAUUUACAAAUCGCCAGAACCAGGAAACGGAGAAGAAUCACACAUCGAGUAUUGGUGAAGGAGUUAAGCCAAGUUCAGUACUGAGGAAGGGGGGGAAAGACCAUCUGCUGUCUGAUUCACCAAAAAUACGGUACUCAUUCCUCAGGCCUCACAACAUCUCUUGGAGCAGUCGGGACGGGCGGACCGAAACAUGUCUACCAAACAGCUGCAAG
rnacentral:lncRNA from 1 species